rnacentral:rRNA from 1 species
UACGUAGGGUGCAAGCGUUGUCCGGAAUUAUUGGGCGUAAAGAGCUCGUAGGCGGUCUGUCGCGUCGGCUGUGAAAACCCGGGGCUCAACCCCGGGCCUGCAGUCGAUACGGGCAGACUAGAGUGCGGUAGGGGAGACUGGAAUUCCUGGUGUAGCGGUGAAAUGCGUAGAUAUCGGAAGGAACACCUGUGGCGAAAGCGGCUCACUGGACCAUUACUGACGCUGAGGCACGAAAGCUAGGGGAGACAAACAGGAGUUAGAAA